CUCUUGGCUCCGGGGCCCGCAGCCGUCGGGGCCCGGAAGGGCUCCCCGGGGCGUUCCCUCAGGAGCGGUGGCCAGGGCUGAUGGGGCGUGUACGACGCGGGACCCCGAGCCCGGCAGCAGCCAAGUAUGGCAAGGACCAGCGCGAGCAUCUCCCCACUGCGGCCGGGGACGGCGUGGGGUGGGAGCCGACCCGGGACAUCCAGGUGGGAUCGGCCACCGCUCAGGCGCUGUCCCAGGCGAACGCCGCCAGGGGCAGGCUCAGCACCGCCCAGGCCGCCGGCUCGCCCCCUCGCCCUAAGGACACAGUGUGGGCUGUUGCAGGUCCUCCUGACCAGGACGCGACUUCCCUGAGGCGGAGGAGGAGCUGAGGACGAACAAGGACUGGGCUGGGUCCAGCUGGUGGGCGUAGGGCUGGCCAGUGCCUUGGCCUUUAACCUGCAGCGUCCUGGGUCUCUUUGGCCCAGCCAGUCGUGAGGACUGUGGCCCAGGAUGCUGCCGAACAGUGAGGGUGCCCAUUGUGGACUGGAAUCCAGCUAGCUAUUCCUCAUUCGAGACCCCAUAGAACCCCACAAACAUGAUUGGGGUUGACAUGGAUUUUGAAUAUUAAAGUUACAUGAGAUUUCUGAA